rnacentral:rRNA from 1 species
GAACGCUGGCGGCGUGCCUAAUACAUGCAAGUAGAACGCACAGGAUGCACCGUAGUUUACUACACCGUAUUCUGUGAGUUGCGAACGGGUGAGUAACGCGUAGGUAACCUGCCUGGUAGCGGGGGAUAACUAUUGGAAACGAUAGCUAAUACCGCAUAAGAACAUUUACUGCAUGGUAGAUGUUUAAAAGGUGCAAAUGCAUCACUACCAGAUGGACCUGCGUUGUAUUAGCUAGUAGGUGAGGUAACGGCUCACCUAGGCGACGAUACAUAGCCGACCUGAGAGGGUGAUCGGCCACACUGGGACUGAGACACGGCCCAGACUCCUACGGGAGGCAGCAGUAGGGAAUCUUCGGCAAUGGGGGGAACCCUGACCGAGCAACGCCGCGUGAGUGAAGAAGGUUUUCGGAUCGUAAAGCUCUGUUGUUAAGGAAGAACGAGUGUGAGAA